rnacentral:rRNA from 1 species
UACGGAGGGUGCAAGCGUUGUCCGGAAUCACUGGGCGUAAAGGGCGCGUAGGCGGCUCAUGAAGGCUGUGGUGAAAGUCCGGGGCUCAACCUCGGAUCGGCCGUGGCGACUCGUGGGCUGGAGCACUGUAGAGGCGGGUGGAAUUCCGGGUGUAGCGGUGGGAAUGCGUAGAGAUCCGGAAGAACACCAGUGGCGAAGGCGGCCCGCUGGGCAGUGGCUGACGCUGAGGCGCGACAG